GACGAACGCUGGCGGCGUGCUUAACACAUGCAAGUCGAACGGUAAGGCCCUUCGGGGUACACGAGUGGCGAACGGGUGAGUAACACGUGGGUGAUCUGCCCUGCACUUCGGGAUAAGCCUGGGAAACUGGGUCUAAUACCGGAUAGGACCCUGCGCUUCACGGUGUGUGGUGGAAAGCUUUUGCGGUGUGGGAUGGGCCCGCGGCCUAUCAGCUUGUUGGUGGGGUAAUGGCCUACCAAGGCGACGACGGGUAGCCGGCCUGAGAGGGUGACCGGCCACACUGGGACUGAGAUACGGCCCAGACUCCUACGGGAGGCAGCAGUGGGGAAUAUUGCACAAUGGGCGCAAGCCUGAUGCAGCGACGCCGCGUGAGGGAUGACGGCCUUCGGGUUGUAAACCUCUUUCAGUAGGGACGAAGCGCAAGUGACGGUACCUACAGAGGAAGGACCGGCCAACUACGUGCCAGCCGCCGCAGUAA
rnacentral:rRNA from 1 species